GCUCUUGAGUCAAUAAAGGUUGAAAUUCAGCUGAAUUGUUCAGAUUACCCUUUAGUCCUUGCAGACAGAAGCAGGUGUCCUGAUUACAACUUUUGCCACUAUUUGUUCAACAAAGUUUUUAAGAAAAAUUAUGGGCCAACAGACUUGAACAAAGAUGGAAAGCAGCUGUUACAACAGAGGUUAGAGGAAUACAACAGCGAAGUUGGAGCUGUGUGUGCCAAGAUGAUUCAGUAAGAUGAUGAUUAUAUAGUAUGGUAAGAGUAUAUUUACAAAUUUGUAGUCUGAUGAAAACUUUAUGCAUAUACAUUUAGCUACUAUUAAUAUUUGUAUAAUUGUUUUUCAGCAUUUGCUCACCACUGAUGCAAAAAGUCCAUACUCGUGUAAAAGCUGCUUCCAAACUUGUAUUUAUGGAUUCCACUGGUUCUCUGGAUCAUGACAGCAGCAGAGUGUUCGUUUUACUUACUCACAGUGAGUGUGGAGGUUUACCACUAGGAGUUCCGAUUAUGUCUUCAGAAAGCUGCGGAGUUAUAGAAAUGGGACUAGAGUUGCUGAAAGAGAUAGUGGGGGAAAAUAUUUUGGGGGAAACAUCAAUGGCCCAAGUGUGUUUCUGACUGACGACAGCCAUUCAGAACAAAAUGCAAUUAGAAGGUGCUUCCUAAACACAAAAGCUUUGUUGUGUAUAUUCCACGUCCUGCAGGCAGUGUGGCGCUGGCUUCUCAAAGCAAAAAAUGCUAUACCACAGCAAAAACAGUGAGAGUUCUUCCAGAAUUUCAAAAAAAUAAUGUUUGCGCAAACAAAAAAAAAAAAAGGAAGCAGUGGUAAAUUAUAAUGUAACAAGAGCGAACAUCGGUGAAAAUAAUCAAAAUUUAUUGAAAUACUUGGAAGGGUUUUGGGAUAGGAGAGGACUGUGGACCCUUUCACGUCGGCGAGGUAUGCUUGUAGAAGGGCACAACACAAAUAAUAUAACUGGGGCCUUCACGAGAAUUUUAAAGGACAGGAUUUUUGAGAGGGUGCGUACCUUCAAUGUGGUUCAGAUGGUGGACUUUUUUCUCACAAAGGUGAAUUUGUAUUUUCAGAGGAGACUUCUUGAUGCUGCUAAUGGAGCAAGUCCUUAGUCUUUCUGUAGGCCUACAAAGGCUCCUUCACAGGAGAUUCUAGCAAAAAUCAGACAAGUCAAUGAGGAUGUUCUGCUCGUUCCCAGUGAAGAAAGGGAGAAUCAUUAUUACAUUGUUAAUAUGGCUGUUCUUGUUUGCACUUGUUGCCAAGGCAAUACAGGGAAGAUCUGCAAACAUAUAGACUGGGGAGCUACAGGGAGGUGACGGAUAGUGACAGUGUACGUAGACUGUAUUAUUUUAUUGCUACAGAUGAGGAGCCUCCUCAAGGGUGGCUAGAGCCUCUGUAUUGCUCUCAGAAUGCAGGGGCUUCAAGUUCUUCGGAACGUUUGGAGCAAACGGACACAGGUUUGCUCUGUGAAAGCCAAGGAGAGAUGCCAGAGACACUUCACACGGAGACAGUUCCAGACAAUAGAAAUAAUGAUUUAAUCGACGAGAUAAAAGCUCGUCUCAUAGAUUUUUCAAAUAAAUCCCCUGAGGAAAUGAGGAAAGGCCUUGAAGUCAUGUGCGAAAAAUUGAGAAAGCUUGCAUCUUAUUUGGCAAAUUUUGGUGAAGGAAAAUCUAGAAAAAAUCGCGGUAACUAUAUUCCCGUUCAGUCCACUGCAAUAAGCAGAAGAAAAAACAAGUUGGCAGGUCGCAGAUGUCAUCCGGGGGGAAGACAAAGACCACACUCUAAGCAAAGCGAGGAAUUUGUAAAGACAGUAGAAAUUUCUGAAAUGGCUACCUUUCCACCACCAGCUACGCAGUCAUCCCAGUCAGCUUCAGACUUCUGAAGGUGCGCGACUGUUUACUGCAGCAUAGUGUGUAGGAUUUUCUUAAUCUGAGAUCCAACGUAAUGGAACUAUUAAGGGAAUGAUUGUACUCAGACCAAACUUACUAUUGAAAUAUAGAAGUUCUUCUUUAAAUUGGGAUAUCCCAACAAUGUGGAUACUUAUUGUGUAUGUUGCACAAGUUUCUGGGAAAUGUGAAUUAUCUUUUCUUAAAAUGUAAACUACAUUUUAUAUUCUG